rnacentral:rRNA from 1 species
AUUGAACGCUGGCGGCAGGCCUAACACAUGCAAGUAGAGCGAGCGGCGGACGGGUGAGUAAUGUAUGGGAAUCUGCCCGAUAGAGGGGGAUAACUACGGGAAACGGUGGCUAAUACCGCAUACUAUCGGAUGAAGCCAGAUGGGAUUAGCUAGUCGGUGGGGUAAAGGCUCACCUAGGCGACGAUCUCUAGCUGGUCGGAGCGGAUGAUCAGCCACACUGGGACUGAGACACGGCCCAGACUCCUACGGGAGGCAGCAGUGGGGAAUAUUGCACAAUGGGCGCAAGCCUGAUACAGCCAUGCCGCGUGUAUGAAGAAGGCCUUAGGGUUGUAAAGUACUUUCAGCGGGGAGGAGGUACCCGAAGAAGAAGCACCGGCUAACUUCGGGCCAGCAGCCGCGGUAAUAC